GGAAUAAUACGACCGGAAAGGGGUACUAAUACCGGAUAUUCUUGUCUUUUCAUAAGUUAUGACAAGCAAAGGGUGGCCUCUGCAUAUGCUACUGCAUGAAGGAGGGGUCUGCGUACCAUUAGCUAGUAGGUGGGUAAUGGCCUACCUAGGCGACGAUGGUUAGCGGGUCUGAGAGGAUGAUCCGCCACACUGGCACUGGAACGACGGGCCAGACUCCUACGGGAGGCAGCAGUGAGGAAUAUUGCGCAAUGGGGGAAACCCUGACGCAGCGACGCCGCGUGAGUGAAGGAAGGCCUUCGGGUCGUAAAGCUCUGUCAAGAGGAAAGAAGUGUACAAUGGCUAAUACCUGUUGUAUUUGACGGUACCUCUAAAGGAAGCACCGGCUAACUCCGUGCCAGCAGCGGC
rnacentral:rRNA from 1 species